rnacentral:RNase_P_RNA from 1 species
GCUGGGCCCUUGGGCCGAGAGGAAAGUCCGGGCAGCACGAGCCACCAUGCUUCCUAACGGGAAGGGGUCAUUAGGGUAACCGAAUGGCUACAGAAAGCGCCACAGAAAAGAAACCGCUCCAUGUGCGGGUGCCUACAUUCGUCGGCCUCUGUACAUGAAGCAAGGGUGAAAACGCGGGGUAAGAGCCCACGACGUGUUCCGGCAACGGGCACGAUGGCAAGCCUCAUGGGCUGAAAGACCAAAUAUACCGAUAGGCCGCAAAGCAGCGGGCUGGCUCGCCUGCAUUAUCGGGGGGUAGGUUGAUAGAGGCCGUCGGCGACGGCGGCAGUAGAUUGAUGAUAGAACACGACAGAACCCGGCUUAUAGGUCCU